UACGUAGGGGGCUAGCGUUGUCCGGAAUCAUUGGGCGUAAAGCGCGUGUAGGCGGUCCGGUAAGUCCGCUGUGAAAGUCGGGGGCUCAACCCUCGGAUGCCGGUGGAUACUGUCGGGCUUGAGUACGGAAGAGGCGAGUGGAAUUCCUGGUGUAGCGGUGGAAUGCGCAGAUAUCAGGAGGAACACCAAUAGCGAAGGCAGCUCGCUGGGACGUCACUGACGCUGAGGCGCGAAAGCGUGGGGAGCGAACAGG
rnacentral:rRNA from 1 species